UGUAGCAGCAGCUGUAGAGCUGUAGCAGCAGCAGCUGUAGCAUCGAUAGCAGCAGCAUCAACAGCAGUAGCAGCCUCAGCAGAGUGGUGCGGGUGCAGGGGGCGAUGGCCCUCGCUGAUCUCCUCCUCCUCCUCCUGGCCCCACAGGCCGUGGCUGCUCCAUGGCGAGCGUGGGGAGCAGGUGAGGCUGGUGGCAAUGGUCGAGAGGCUUCUUGGCAGGAUGUUGGUUUAGAGCCCUUGGAGACCUUGGAGCAGCCUGGAGAUCCUCUCCAGGUCAACACCUUCCUAGCUCCUUAUGCUG